rnacentral:lncRNA from 1 species
UUGCUACAUUAACUAACUGGCUUUUUCUGUCAAUUUUGUCUCAAAUGUUUUAUUUUUCAGUUACUCAAAAAUAUUUUUCAACACUCCAAAAUGCCAUUAUUAAGAAAUAAUGGAAUGGAAUGGAGUGGAAUGGAAUGAAAUGGAAUGGAAUGGAAUGGAAUGGAAUGGAAUGGAAUGGAAUGGAAUGGAAUACUUUAGUUGAUAAAAAAUCCUUAAAACAGACUGUCUGAUAUGCAAAGUCACAAAGCAGAAGAGUUGACUGCUGCUCUGAAAGAGCUGGAUAUGUGGGAAAUGGAGGGCAGGAAUUGGCUGUAUGUCUUGUUCUCAGUGCUUCAGUUUGGAAACUCUGUCCAGUGUAUUUGUAUGUAUUUGAGUAUGUUUCAUUAA